ensembl:lncRNA
UGGACAAAAUGAGAGAGAGAGAGGGAGAGAGAGAUGGGGAGGAAUAGAAAAAGACGGAGUGAGAGAUCAGGGGAAAAGAGGGGUGGACCGGAUUCAAAGACAGCUCUGUUCUGCCCCACUUUGCAGUCAGGUUUAGAAUAGAACCUCAUUCAUGUUAGUCUGAGGGAGUAUUUCUUGCUGUGUGUGAGUGUGUAUGUGGUGUGUGCGAGUGUGUGAGUGUGUAUGUGGUGUGUCUCAGUGUGAAUGUGGUGUGUGCGAGUGUGUGAGUGUGUAUGUGGUGUGUGUGAGUGUGUAUGUGGUGUGUUUGAGUGUGUAUGUGGUGUAUUUGAGUGUGUGAGUGUGUAUGUGGUGUGUUUGAGUGUGCGAGUGUGUAUGUGGUGUGUUUGAGUGUGUGAGUGUGUAUGUGGUGUUUUUUAAUGUGUAUGUGGUGUGUGCAAGUGUGUGAGUGUAUAUGUGCUUUGUUUGAGGGUGUGAGUAUGUAUGUGGUGUGUGAGUGUGUUUGUGGUGUGUUUGAUUGUGUGAGUGUGUAUGUGGUGUGUGUUUGUGGUGUGUUUGAGUGUGUGAGUGUGUCUGUGGUGUGUUUGAGUGUGUGAGUGUGUAUGUGGUGUGUUUAAGUGUGUGAGUGUGUAUGUGGUGUGUUUGAAUGUGUGAGUGUGUCUGUUGUGUGCGAGUGUGUUGAGUGUGUGAGUGUGUACGUACGUAGGUGGUGUGUUUGAAUGUGUGAGUGUGUCUGUGGUGUGUUUGAAUGUGUGAGUGUGUAUGUGGUGUGUGUGAGUGUGUGUGUGUAUGUGGUGUGUUUGAGUGUGUGAGUGUGUAUGUGGUGUGUUUGAGUGUGUGAGUGUUUAUGUGGUGUGUUUGAAUGUGUAAGUGUGUCUGUGGUGUGUGUGUGUGUGUCUGUGGUGUGUUUGUGUGUGAGUGUGUCUGUGGUGUGUUUGAGUGUGUAUGUGGUGUGUUUGAGUGUGUGAGUGUGUCUGUGGUGUGUGAGUGUGUAUGUGGUGUGUUUGAGUGUGAGUGUGUCUGUGGUGUGUUUGAGUGUGUGUGUGUGUAUGUGGUGUGUAUGUGAGUGUGUGAGUGUGUAUGUGGUGUGUCGGAGUGUGUGAGUGUGUAUGUGGUGUGUUUGAGUGUUUGAGUGUGUAUGUGGUGUGUUUGAGUGUGUGAGUAUGUAUGUGGUGUGUCGGAGUGUGUGAGUGUGUAUGUGGUGUGUUUGAGUGUGUGAGUGUGUAUGUGGUGUGUCGGAGUGUGUGAGUGUGUCUGUGGUGUGUUUGAGUGUGUGAGUGUGUAUGUGGUGUGUCGGAGUGUGUGAGUGUGUCUGUGGUGUGUUUGAGUGUGUCUGUGGUGUGUGAGUGUGUGAGUGUGUCUGUGGUGUGUUUGAGUGUGUAUGUGGUGUGUUUGAGUGUGUGAGUGUGUAUGUGGUGUGUUUGAGUGUGUGAGUGUGUCUGUGGUGUGUUUGAGUGUGUCUGUGGUGUGUGAGUGUGUGAGUGUGUCUGUGGUGUGUUUGAGUGUGUAUGUGGUGUGUUUGAAUGUGUGAGUGUGUAUGUGGUGUGUUUGAGUGUGUGAGUGUGUAUGUGGUGUGUUUGAAUGUGUGAGUGUGUCUGUGGUGUGUGAGUGUGUUGAGUGUGUAUGUGGUGUGUUUGAAUGUGUGAGUGUGUCUGUGGUGUGUUUGAGUGUGUGAGUGUGUAUGUGGUGUGUGUGAGUGUGUCUGUGGUGUGUUUGAGUGUGUCUGUGGUGUGUGAGUGUGUCUGUGGUGUGUUUGAGUGUGUAUGUGGUGUGUUUGAAUGUGUGAGUGUGUAUGUGGUGUGUUUGAGUGUGUGAGUGUGUCUGUGGUGUGUUUGAGUGCGUGAGUGUGUCUGUGGUGUGUUUGAGUGUGUGAGUGUGUCUGUGGUGUGUUUGAGUGUGUGAGUGUGUCUGUGCUGUGUUUGAGUGUGUGAAUGUGUCUGUGGUGUGUUUGAGUGUGUGAGUGUGUAUGUGUUGUGUUUGAGUGUGUGUGUGUGUAUGUGGUGUGUUUGAGUGUGUAUGUGGUGUGUUUGAGUGUGUGAGUGUGUCUGUGGUGUGUUUGAGUGUGUCUGUGGUGUGUUUGAGUGUGUGUGUGUGUCUGUGGUGUGUUUGUGUGUGUGUGUGUGUAUGUGGUGUGUCGGAGUGUGUGAGUGUGUAUGUGGUGUGUUUGAGUGUGUGAGUGUGUCUGUGGUGUGUUUGAGUGUGUGAGUGUGUCUGUGGUGUGUUUGAGUGUGUGAGUGUGUAUGUGGUGUGUUUGAGUGUGUGAGUGUGUAUGUGGUGUGUCGGAGUGUGUGAGUGUGUAUGUGGUGUGUCGGAGUGUGUGAGUGUGUAUGUGGUGUGUCGGAGUGUGUGAGUGUGUAUGUGGUGUGUUUGAGUGUGUGA